ACGCUCGACACCUACGGGAGUCAGCAGUGGGGAAUAUUGCACAAUGGGGGAAACCCUGAUGCAGCGACGCCGCGUGAGCGAAGAAGUAUUUCGGUAUGUAAAGCUCUAUCAGCAGGGAAGAAAAUGACGGUACCUGACUAAGAAGCACCGGCUAAAUACGUGCCAGCAGCCGCGGUAAUCUGAGCGGGCUGGCAAGGC
rnacentral:rRNA from 1 species